GUGGCCGAGUGGCUGAAGGCGCUCCCCUGCUAAGGGAGUAUGGGUUAAUAGCCCAUCGAGGGUUCGAAUCCCGAUGUUACCA
rnacentral:tRNA from 1 species